GUGAGAACAACCGGAUAAUGUGUGGUUUGUUGAUUGCCUGAAUCGAAAAGAAUUGAGUGGUGUAAUAGGCACUCAAAUGAAUCAAAUAUUCGGAUACAAAAAAAUGAGCGAUAGGCGGCAGAGCAGCAACCAAUCGUCCGGC
ensembl:ncRNA M88.9 ncRNA